CCUACGGGGGGCAGCAGUGGGGAAUAUUGCACAAUGGGGGAAACCCUGAUGCAGCAACGCCGCGUGAGCGAUGAAGGCCUUCGGGUCGUAAACCUCUAUCCUAAGGGAAGAAUAAUGACACUACAUCUGGAGGAAGCCCCGGCUCACUAUGUGCCAGCAGAGGCGGAGAUACGUGGGGGGCGAACGUUAUCCGGAAUUACUGGGCGUAAAGGGUGCGUAGGCGGGCGGUGAAGUGAGAGGUGAAAGGCCACGGCCCACCCGUAGUAAGCCUUUGAAACUGUAGGGCUUGAGUGCAGGAGAGGAGAGUGGAAUUCCUAGUGUAGCGGUGAAAUGCGUAGAUAUUGGGAGGAACACCAGUGGCGAAGGCGGCUCUCUGGACUGUAACUGACGCUGAGGCACGAAAGCGUGGGGAGCGAACAGGAUUAGAUACCCUAGUAGUC
rnacentral:rRNA from 1 species